rnacentral:lncRNA from 1 species
GUGGUGGUAUGAACAAGGCGCGAGUUCCCGCAUCUUCCAAGCUCAACACUGCACUAAAAACCCACAAACAAAACAAAGAAACAAAAAGAAACAAAACGAAACUAAAAGAAAGAAAAACAAAACAAAGAAAAACAGUUGGGUUACCUCCCAACAAGUGCUUAAUUUAACGUCUAGAGCUCGACGAUACCUCAUGGUCUCAAUGAACAUCAAACGCAGCGGGCGUGACAGACCGCCUAACACGAACAGAGACAGAGGACUCAUGCGCAUCAGCUGCGUGAAAGAUAACGCUUCCAUUGGGCACAUCUAUCAUAGCCCUCCCCG